rnacentral:rRNA from 1 species
GAUGAACGCUAGCUACAGGCUUAACACAUGCAAGUCGAGGGGAAACGAUAUUGGAAGCUUGCUUCCGAUAGGCGUCGACCGGCGCACGGGUGAGUAACGCGUAUCCAACCUGCCCACCACUUGGGGAUAACCUUGCGAAAGUAAGACUAAUACCCAAUGACGUCCAUAGAAGACAUCUGAAAUGGAAUAAAGAUUUAUCGGUGAUGGAUGGGGAUGCGUCUGAUUAGCUUGUUGGCGGGGUAACGGCCCACCAAGGCGACGAUCAGUAGGGGUUCCGAGAGGGAGGUCCCCCAAAUUGGAACUGAGACACGGUCCAAACUCCUACGGGAGGCAGCAGUGAGGAAUAUUGGUCAAUGGGCGAGAGCCUGAACCAGCCAAGUAGCGUGCAGGAUGACGGCCCUAUGGGUUGUAAACUGCUUUUAUAAGGGAAUAAAGUGAGUCUCGUGAGACUUUUUGCAUGUACCUUAUGAAUAAGGACUGGCUAAUUCCGUGCCAGCCGCCGCCGUAA